GGAUGGCGCCUCUUCGUUCUUCAACUCAGUAAUUGCGCCAUCAUUGGACAACCCACCAACCUCAUUCUGGGCCUUUGCAACGGGGAAACGAUUCCGACUUUGCCUAGAUCCCUUGAUGAGUGGUUUCGCGGAAGGAGGAAUGAGAGCGAACGAGAGGCGCUCGUGAUGGAGGCGGCGGGCGGAGGCGGAGGCGGCCGACGGGGGCUUCACGGCGG
rnacentral:misc_RNA from 1 species